rnacentral:tRNA from 1 species
CGGGGCCAUAGCUCAGCUGGGAGAGCACCUGCUUUGGGAGCAGGGGGUCCCGGGUUCGAAUCCCGGCGCCCCGA